rnacentral:lncRNA from 1 species
UAUAUAUAUCUCAAUUGUAAGUAGAUAUUACAUGAAUGAGAAUUAAGGUUUUUCUUCUUUCUCUCUCUCUCAACAUGGUAUCAGAGCCAAGGAAGAAAACCUAAUUCUUUCCUGUUUCCCGUGUCAUCAACUCCGGGAAACCUUCUUUCCUGUUUCCCGUGUCAUCAACUCCAGGAAACCUUCCGGUGACCGUGUUUCAUUCCGGUCACCUUCCCCAUCUCCCAAUACUUUCCGGUCAGUCGGAUCGUCGUCAGAAAACACUGAUCGCCGGCGAACUUUUCCG